GACGAACGCUGGCGGCGUGCUUAACACAUGCAAGUCGAACGGAAAGGCCCUGCUUUUGUGGGGUGCUCGAGUGGCGAACGGGUGAGUAACACGUGAGUAACCUGCCCUUGACUUUGGGAUAACUUCAGGAAACUGGGGCUAAUACCGGAUAGGAGCUCCUGCUGCAUGGUGGGGGUUGGAAAGUUUCGGCGGUUGGGGAUGGACUCGCGGCUUAUCAGCUUGUUGGUGGGGUAGUGGCUUACCAAGGCUU
rnacentral:rRNA from 2 species